rnacentral:rRNA from 1 species
GACGUAGGGCGCGAGCGUUGUCCGGAUUUAUUGGGCGUAAAGAGCUCGUAGGCGGCUUGUCGCGUCGACUGUGAAAUCUCCGGGCUUAACCCGGAAAGGUCAGCCGAUACUGCGGGGCUAGAGUGCAGAAGGGGCAACUGGAAUUCUCGGUGUAGCGGUGAAAUGCGUAGAUAUCGAGAGGAACACCUGCGGCGAAGGCGGGUUGCUGGGCUGACACUGACGCUGAGGCGCGAAAGCUAGGGGAGCGAACGGG